rnacentral:pre_miRNA from 1 species
UAUUAAAAAUUUCAUCCAUUUUUACUAUUAAAAACUAGCAUGAUUGAUAGAAUAACCAGAUAGUUACAUGUGGUGUGCCACGAGUACCUUAUGCUAAUGUAUAUGAACCAACUUUUACUAGUAACAAUGGAUACAAUUUUAAACA